rnacentral:rRNA from 1 species
GACGAACGCUGGCGGCGUGCUUAACACAUGCAAGUCGAACGAUGAAGAAGAGAAACGCGAACUUCGGUUCAAAUUUCACGUCGGAUUAGUGCCAGACGGGUGAGUAACUCGUGAGCAACCUACCUCUUACAACGGGAUAGCCUACGGAAAACGUGAUUAUUACCCUAUGACACAUUCGUAAGGCAUCGUAAGAAUGUUAAAGCUACGGCGGUAAGAGAUGGGCUCGCGUCCCAUUAGCUAGGUGGUGAGGUAACGGCCCACCAAGGUGACGAAGGGUAACCGGGAGGAGAGGGUGAACGGUCACAUUUGAGAUGAGACACAGUCCAAAAUCCUACGGAAGGGAGCAGUGGGGAAUAUAGCACAAUGGAGGGAGCUCUGAUGACGCGACGCGGCGUGAGAGAUGAAGGAAUUCGUUUCGUAAAGCUCUGUUCUAUGGGAAGAAAAGGACGGUACCAUAGGAGAAAGCCCCGGCUAAAUACGUG